GGCGGUAAGACAUUGACAUUUUAAGAAAUUAGAAAGGGAAAAUGAACUUAAGUAAUAACAUUUAAUAAACAUGGUAUAUAAAUUACCAAUUUGAAGACAUAACAAGUUAAAAUUCAUAAAAGUUUGACCAUUGUUACUACACGUUGUCAUGGUUGUGACGUGACGUUGUUGAUGAAAUGCAGUAGUUCUGGUAAGUAGGCGGGGCUUAUAGGUUAGUUGAGGUCAUUGACGUAUAAAGCUAACGUUUAUACGUAUAGCUUUAUCUGUAUAGUAAAAUAGCUGAUUGCAGUAUAAUUCUAUGUAUGUU
rnacentral:lncRNA from 1 species